rnacentral:rRNA from 1 species
GAUGAACGCUGGCGGCGUGCCUAAUACAUGCAAGUCGAGCGAACGGACGAGAAGCUUGCUUCUCUGAUGUUAGCGGCGGACGGGUGAGUAACACGUGGAUAACCUACCUAUAAGACUGGGAUAACUUCGGGAAGUCGGAGCUAAUACCGGAUAAUAUUUUGAACCGCAUGGUUCAAAAGUGAAAGACGGUCUUGCUGUCACUUAUAGAUGGAUCCGCGCUGCAUUAGCUAGUUGGUAAGGUAACGGCUUACCAAGGCAACGAUGCAUAGCCGACCUGAGAGGGUGAUCGGCCACACUGGAACUGAGACACGGUCCAGACUCCUACGGGAGGCAGCAGUAGGGAAUCUUCCGCAAUGGGCGAAAGCCUGACGGAGCAACGCCGCGUGAGUGAUGAAGGUCUUCGGAUCGUAAAACUCUGUUAUUAGGGAAGAACAUAUGUGUAAGUAACUGUGCACAUCUUGACGGUACCUAAUCAGAAAGCCACGGCUAACUACGUG